rnacentral:rRNA from 1 species
AGUGAACGCUGGCGGUAGGCCUAACACAUGCAAGUCGAACGGCAGCACAGUAAGAGCUUGCUCUUACGGGUGGCGAGUGGCGGACGGGUGAGGAAUACAUCGGAAUCUACUUUUUCGUGGGGGAUAACGUAGGGAAACUUACGCUAAUACCGCAUACGACCUACGGGUGAAAGCAGGGGAUCUUCGGACCUUGCGCGAUUGAAUGAGCCGAUGUCGGAUUAGCUAGUUGGCGGGGUGAAGGCCCACCAAGGCGACGAUCCGUAGCUGGUCUGAGAGGAUGAGCAGCCACACUGGAACUGAGACACGGUCCAGACUCCUACGGGAGGCAGCAGUGGGGAAUAUUGGACAAUGGGCGCAAGCCUGAUCCAGCCAUACCGCGUGGGUGAAGAAGGCCUUCGGGUUGUAAAGCCCUUUUGUUGGGAAAGAAAAGCAGCAGGUUAAUACCCCGCUGUUCUGACGGUACCCAAAGAAUAAGCACCGGCUAACUUCGUG